AUUGAACGCUGGCGGCAGGCUUAACACAUGCAAGUCGAGCGAGCGGCGGACGGGUGAGUAAUGGCGGGGAAACUGCCUGAUGGAGGGGGAUAACGACUGGAAACGGUAGCUAAUAGCGCAUACCAUCAGAUGUGCCCAGUUGGGAUUAGCUAGUAGGUGGGGUAAUGGCUCACCUAGGCGACGAUCCCUAGCUGGUCUGAGAGGAUGACCGGCCACCCUGGAACGGAGACACGGUCCAGACUCCUACGGGAGGCAGCAGUGGGGAAUAUUGGACAAUGGGCGAAAGCCUGAUGGAGCCAUGCCGCGUGUGUGAAGAAGGCCUUCGGGUUGUAAAGCACUUUCAUCGGGGAGGCGUUACUCGCACAGGAAGCACCGGCUAACUCCGUGCCAGCAGCCGCGGUAAUUC
rnacentral:rRNA from 1 species